GCAUUGGUGGUUCAGUGGUAGAAUUCUCGCCCUGCCACGCUGGGAGGCCCGUGUUCGAUUCACGGCCAAUGCA